GACGAACGCUGGCGGCGUGCUUAACACAUGCAAGUCGAACGGCAAGGCCCUGCUUUUGUGGGGUGCUCGAGUGGCGAACGGGUGAGUAUCACGUGAGUAACCUGCCCUUGACUUUGGGAUAACUUCAGGAAACUGGGGCUAAUACCGGAUAGGAGCUCCUGCUGCAUGGUGGGGGUUGGAAAGUUUCGGCGGUUGGGGAUGGACUCGCGGCUUAUCAGCUUGUUGGUGGGGUAGUGGCUUACCAAGGCUUUGACGGGUAGCCGGCCUGAGAGGGUGACCGGCCACAUUGGGACUGAGAUACGGCCCAGACUCCUACGGGAGGCAGCAGUGGGGAAUAUUGCACAAUGGGCGGAAGCCUGAUGCAGCAACGCCGCGUGCGGGAUGACGGCCUUCGGGUUGUAAACCGCUUUCGCCUGUGACGAAGCGUGUGUGACGGUAAUGGAUAAAGAAGCACCGGCUAACUACGUG
rnacentral:rRNA from 1 species